ACUCCUACGGGAGGCAGCAGUAGGGAAGCAACCACAAUGGGUGAAAACCUGAUGGAGCAUACUUUGAGAGAAAAAGAAGGUCUUCGGAUCGUAAAGCUCUGUUGUUAGAGAAGAAUAAGUCGGGUAGUAACUGCCCCGACCUUCUCAGAAUCUAACCAGAAAGUCACGGCUAACUACGUGCCAGCAGCCGCGGUAAU
rnacentral:rRNA from 1 species